UUCGCAAUGCCCGAAAGGGUGACGAAGCGACGCCGCGUGUGGGAAGAAGGCCUUCGGGUUGUAAACCACUGUCGGGAGUUAAGAAAUGUAAGGAUGUUAAUAGCGUCCUUACUUGACUAAGGCUCCGGAGGAAGCCACGGCUAACUCUGUGCCAGCAGCCGCGGUAAUACAGAGGCGGCAAGCGUUGUUCGGAAUUAUUGGGCGUAAAGAGCACGUAGGCGGCUAUGUAAGUCGGUUGUGAAAGCCUUCCGCUCAACGGGAGAACAGCAGUCGAUACUGCAUAGCUUGAGUGCGGGAGGGGAGAGCGGAACUUCUGGUGGAGCGGUGAAAUGCGUAGAUAUCAGAAGGAACGCCGGCGGCGAAAGCGACUCUCUGGCCCGAAACCGACGCUGAGUGUGCGAAUGCUAGGGGAUCAAACGGGAUUAGAUACCCCGGUAGUCCUAGCCGUAAACGAUGGGCACUAAGUAGAGGGGUUUU
rnacentral:rRNA from 1 species